CGCCACGGACGACCGUGGUGCACGACAAAUGACGGCGGGACGGCCCGC
rnacentral:ncRNA from 1 species